rnacentral:rRNA from 1 species
GUAGGGAAUAUUGCGCAAUGGACGAAAGUCUGACGCAGCGACGCCGCGUGAGUGAUGAAGGCCUUAGGGUCGUAAAGCUCUGUUGAAUGGGAAGAAAAAAAUGACGGUACCAUUCGAGGAAGGACCGGCUAACUUCGUGCCAGCAGCCGCGGUAAUACGAGGGGUCCUAGCGUUGUUCGGAAUCAUUGGGCGUAAAGGGUGUGUAGGUGACCAUGUAAGUCAGGUGUGAAAGCCCCGGGCUCAACCCGGGAAGUGCACUUGAUACUGCGUGGCUUGAGUACCGAAGAGGGUAGUGGAAUUCCAGGUGUAGUGGUGAAAUACGUAGAUAUCUGGAGGAACACCGGUGGCGAAGGCGGCUACCUGGUCGAGUACUGACACUGAGACACGAAAGCAUGGGGAUCAAACAGGAUUAGAAACCCUGGUAGUCC